rfam:Plesiomonas shigelloides 302-73 genomic scaffold scaffold00012, whole genome shotgun sequence.
AGAUAAAAAGAGGCCAGACACGAUUCCUGUAUCUGGCCCAGGGGAAUGGCUCUUUGCAGAGCCGUGCGCUAACUGAUUAAAACAGGAGAACCGUUGCGGUAUCCAUGUUUCUAAGCGUAGUGGAGAUACGUAAUAAAUCCAGCUA